UUUUUUCCUCUAUGGCUUGGCAGGACCGCUGGAGGGAAACACUAACAACAACAAAAAGUUUCCAUUGUUCACUAGCAAAGAAAAAAAACCGUUUCAACCUCUGUGGGUAAAGAUACACCAUCCAUUUUCCAUCCCUCGCUUGAUCUUACUAGAUAUGUCUUGCCGCCGCUGUUUUGAAGCCUCAACCGAGUUUCUUUUCACCAAGAGGAUCCAGGGGGGCCGCUGCCUUGCGGCUGUAAGGGGCCCUUGGAAGACGCAGGCCGCUCAGCCUCUCCCAGCCGCGCAGGUUAGGGGGGCUGGGAGGGAGAGCGGGAAAGUAGCAAUGGAGAGUGAAGACACAGGAGGGAAGAGAGGCAGAAAGAUCUCCGAAUUUGUAGAGCCAGAGGUGAGUUGGCAAUCCCCCAGACAGACAGAGCCACUGGGAAUUAGCACAUAUGCUUUCCAGUGAAAGCAAUGUUGUUUUAUUUCAAAUAUUGCGCAGGAAAAGAGAUCUUCCCACAAAAAAACUUUUUCUGCAACAUCUGCACUCAUUCAGUCCUUCAAGGAUCUCCAGGAAUACCAGUACACGAUUAAUCAGAAGUAAUCUGAAGAAGAGGAAUUUAGACUGUCCACAAGUGGCUUUCACGUUCCAAAGCAGGACAUUAGAGUAAACAGCUUUGCUUCCGAGACUGACACUUCUGGAGUAUGGUGGGAAAUAAUGAUGUAUGAAAUAAUUAUGUUUAUUUUGCUGACACGCACAUCUUCUGUUAGCAUAUAAAAAUCUUCCCACAAAAAGAAUGGAUUAUUUCAGGAAAGGUUUUCUGUAAUGCUUCAAGUUACUAACCCUGGAACACAGCUGUAGGCUUGAAGGAAGGCCAGUGCAGUGGCCAAUUAAUUAUAAUACUUUAUUUAAAAACACAUGUUGUAAUAAGAAUACACUGUGCAGUUCAGCCACAUCUACUAGCCUUCAGGGCUGCGUCCAGGCAAGUGCAGCCGUGCGGUAUGUGGUACAUGUCUGUGGCGCCACGUCUGCAGCAUGCAGUACAUAUCUGCAGCACGCGGUACACAUCUGCGACACCACAUACCACCUGUUCAGCAGUUCUCCGUGCUGCAAAGGAGCAGUGCAGGGGGCAGGGGUUGGGUUUGACCCCUGGAUAUCCAGGGGUCAGAAAAACCCAUACAAAAAAAAAAAUGGAGCGGCACAUACAGCGGCAGCAUGUGUCACUCAAACCCAGAGCAGGGCCAGCUGGAGCUGUGCUGUGGCUGCUGGCCAGGCUCUGAGUGACAGGAUUGCUACUGCUGCAGCCCCAGGAGGCCCCCAGGUAAGACUGCGGGGGCCAGCCCCAGUGCUGGCCCCAGCCUCCCCUACCCUACCCAGGGUAACCUACUACACACCAGAGGGUGCAUGGCACAGGUGUUCCCUGGGGACAACUAGUGGAGGCAUAAGGUACACCAUUGCUAGUUGUCCCAGAGGAACCAAAAGUUCAUACUCUUCUGUAUGAGGCCCAGGAGUGUGAUAUACUGGAGUAUGAAGCUUCUCCAGCCAGAAGAGAACUCUGUUGCCUGUCUCCUCAGUAAUGUAGACUCCCGUGAGCACAUCACAUAUAUACUCUGCUUUCUAUCCUGGCUUCCUAUAGGAUUUUGAAUUGAGUUCAAGUUUUUGGUCCUAAUCUUCCAGGUUUUCUACAGCACAAGCCACAGAAUAUCUAAAAGAUUGCUUAACACUCUGGGAUGGAGACCAGGGUUGACAUUUUUUCUUCACUAGCACAAUAGAAGGUAAAGCUCAUUUGUGAAAAAGGGGUAAAGCUCAUCCUCUUCAACUCUCUUGAAGGGGUAAAGCUCAUCUGUGCAGGAGGGAGAACUUCCUCAGGAGGUUGGUCUGAGAUGGUGGAGCACACUCCCCCCAGGCCUAGGGACUAUCACAAAUUUUACUGCCUUCCACCCCAAGUGCAAGACACAUUUAUGUGACCUUGCCUCCUCUACCAUGAACACAUAGUACCAUGUGCAUGUUAAAAAACAUAACAAAAACAGUACUGAAAGAAGAGACUGUACUUCACAUGCUUCUUCGUCUGGGGAGAGGAUGGGAGAACACUCACAUGACAAGUUUUAGUUACACUCUCAAUACACUAAUCUGGUUAUAAAUGUGGUAUAAUAACCUAUAUAGAAUAGAACAGAAUACCCAAUCUCUGCAUACUUCAGUAUCACCCUGCUAUUAAUAACAAUGACUGCAAACUAUCCUCAUGUUGAAUGCGAUUCCAUGUUAAUAGAUGAUCGGGGCCUGGUACUAAUAGCACCAAAGUCACAAGUUUGAUCCCAGGGUUGGACUAGAUGAUCUCUUGAAGUCCCUUCCAGCCUUACUUCUCUAUGAUCCAUCUCUGCGAAAUAACAGGCUUUCUCUGUGUAUUAAAAAUAGAUUUUCAGAACCGGUGUAUCUAUUACUGCUUAUCUAUCUCAGUAUCUGUGAAUGGUGAUAGCGCCCUCUCAGUGCAAGGUACCAUUUCACUGAUUCUUUCUGACAGUAAGUCCAGCUUUAUUAUAAAAUGUAUACAUAAAUAGAUUAACAUAAAGCAAUUCUACAUAAGUCAA